UACGAAGGGGGCUAGCGUUGCUCGGAAUUACUGGGCGUAAAGCGCGCGUAGGCGGCUUUGUAAGUUAGAGGUGAAAGCCCGGAGCUCAACUCCGGAAUUGCCUUUAAGACUGCAUCGCUAGAAUCAUGGAGAGGUGAGUGGAAUUCCGAGUGUAGAGGUGAAAUUCGUAGAUAUUCGGAAGAACACCAGUGGCGAAGGCGACUCACUGGACAUGUAUUGACGCUGAGGUGCGAAAGCGUGGGGAGCAAACAGG
rnacentral:rRNA from 1 species